UACGGGGGGUGCGAGCGUUGUCCGGAAUCACUGGGCGUAAAGGGCGCGUAGGCGGGCAUUCAAGUCUGUGGUGAAAUCCUCCAGCUCAACUGGAGAACUGCCAUGGAUACUGGGUGUCUCGAGGGUGGUAGGGGUAUGCGGAACUAUCGGUGGAGCGGUGAAAUGCGUUGAUAUCGAUAGGAACUCCGGUGGCGAAGGCGGCAUACUGGACCACAUCUGACGGCUGAGGCGCGGAAAGCCCAGGGGAGCGAACGGG
rnacentral:rRNA from 1 species